rfam:Salmo salar isolate Sally breed double haploid chromosome ssa14, whole genome shotgun sequence.
UGGCUCAGUUGGUAGAGCAUGGCGCUUGCAAUGCCAGGGUUGUGGGUUUGAUUCCCAC